rnacentral:lncRNA from 1 species
GGUUACUCAUCAUGAAGAUUUUAUUUUAUUUUUACCUUUCUUCAUCGAAAUGAACUCACAAAGAAGUUAAACCCAUAACUUCCGAUGAUCAAAUCUAUAACUCACAAAACACAGAAAAAGGGUACUUGAAGGAUCUAGGGCUUUGUGCAAUUCAACAUCAGUAUUAUAGGCUAAGAAAAAAUGGAGGGGGGAUUACAGAAUAUGGUUUGUUCCUUCUCAAAGGACACAAAAUCAAGAUCCCCUUCUUUCUUGGCGGCAACGGCGGUGGAGCAGUGCCGACGAUUCUUUCGGCGAUGCCAUUCGUAUUUGUCAACAGGCCUCCCAAGCAAGUUAUCUUGUUGUGGAGGUGUUCAAAUCUUGCUUUAUCGCCGGUGUAUGGCGUUGGGCUUCAAGGUUCUCAAGCGAUUAAAAGGCGAUUAGUGUAACGUUAUUAACCCUUUCAAAUCCAGUUAGGUUUCAUAUUAUGAAAAUGGGUAACUAGUUCAAAUACUUUUCUUUUCUAAUAUGUAAAAAGUAGUUUAUAUUUUUUUUUAAAAUCUUCAACGUCAAAAUUAAAG